GCUUAUGUAGUAUAUACACAUAUUAUAUUUAAUUUCCAAUUAAAAGAUUUAUUUAACAUAAUAUAAGCU
rnacentral:tRNA from 1 species